UGUACUUUGAAUUGAAUGAAGGAUAUUCAAUAUUCAUUUUGGAAGCAUUGCAAAUAGGUAUUGAUAAACUAUUUGUUUAUAAGUUAUUAAAUUGAUUUGCACCAGAAAAGAAAAUACUCAUAUAACAAAUGUUUAUUGACAGACUAUAUUUCUAAUUUAUAGAAUUAUGAAAAUGAUUUGUAUCUGAAAUCAAUACUCACUUUGUGCGUGCAUAGUUUUUAACAACAACUGAGUGAACAGUAGAAUGUAUUCUUUUCAAAGGCAAUGGACCUAUAUAUUUAUAUGGAUAUGGAUAGACAAUACAAAGGAGAAAUUCAAAACGCAAAAGUCAAAGAAAAACUGACAACUCCAUGGCAAAACAUAAAAAAAUAAGACAACCAAAUCCACAACAAUUCAAAAGACUAAACAUAUAGCAAUCAUUAAUUACACUUGCAUUUGAAGUAGAUAACUCAGAUUUUUGCAUGAACAUUUUCAUAUACAUCUACCCAUACUUAUUUAUUUUAAGUGAUAGAGUGCUUUCUCCUCAUUUUUUAUGAUCUAAUUAAGAAUUUGGCAUUUUGGUAGCAAGAUUUGAUAUUAUGUUAACACUUUAACAGUUGUUAGACAGUAUUUUAGUUGUU
rnacentral:lncRNA from 1 species